ensembl:snRNA U6 U6 spliceosomal RNA
GUGCUGGCUUUGGAAGCACACAUACUAAAAGUUAGAGUGAUACAGAGAGAAUUAGCGUGGCCCCUGCACAAGGAGGACAUACAAAUUUGUGAGGCAUUCCAUAUCUUU